CUCGCAGGGCCGCGCCCGCAGCAUGCUGACUGGACAGAUGCGCCCACUCGGGAGAUACCACCGGAUUUAGUGCAUCAGAGGCAGGAUUCGACAGAAGAAAAGGGGGAAGCGGAGGGAGACGUAGUGCUCGAGUUCUCAGUGGAGGGUUUGCGACCGGCCACCGCGUACGCGCUGCGCCUCGCCGCCGUCAACGACAUCGGCGACAGCGACUUCUCCGACCCCGUCAUCGUGCAUACCUUGGAGGAAGAGCCCUCCGAGCCUCCUCACAACAUUGAAAUACAAGCGGACUCUCCCGGCG